AAAUGGGGACCUGUCCUGCAACCCAGGCAUGUGUCCUGACUUGGAAUCAAACCGGCGACCUUUAAGUUCACAGACCGGCACUUGAUCCACUGAGCCACACUAGUCAGAACUCUUCCUUGUCAAUUUUUAUACAAAGUGCUUAAGCAAUACUAAAAACCAUAAAUCCCCUCAUUUAUUGUGGUAGGAAAUAAGGUGUGUCAAGAAUUGAAGUUUUAAAACAGGUAUGUUACACCUCAUCUACCCGAUCUAAUUUGGAAUCCUUUUACAACAAUGACGUAGGUACCACUUCGGCCUCUGCUGGAACUCUUCCAACAGUGGGGAGCUCACCACCACUUCAAAGUCCCUUCCACUUUAUACAGUUGUGAUUACCAGAAAAUUAUUCCUCAUUUUUAGGAGAAAUCCACCUUCCCUUAAAUUUUCAUUGUGGUAUUAUUUAUACCCUCUACAGUGGAAGAGAACAAAUUUUCUCUCAUCUUUUCAUGAUAGCUCUUUGAGCACUCUGAAAACUCUUACAUGAGCCUUUAAAACUCCCUUUCUCCUGGAGGUUAAACAUUCCUGGUUCCACACGUUUCCUGGGACAUAGAUUCAGUACUCAUCAUGGUCCUUGCUGAUCAGGCCUACUCUUAACAAACCUCAAAGUACAAGAGUCUCAAUGUGACAUGAACACUAAAGGUAGAGUUAAGGUAGGACCCCAUCUCUACAUUAUGCAUCUCUUGAUGUAGCCCAGGAUCGUGUUAAAUUUCCUGACAACCAUGUCACAGUACUGACCCAUCCGCUUGAGCCAGGAUUCUCCCAUCCUACCCUUACAAAGUUGACUUUUUAAAUCCCAGUACAGGAUUUGAUGUCUGUUUUUGUUAAAUUGUGUCCUUAUACAUUUACCCCAUAAUGUCAGCCUGUGGUCAUCCUUGAGAGUCCUGGUUCUGCCUCCUAGAGUAUCUCACCAGCUUGCCACCUGGAUCUUUUCCAAGUCAGGGAUAGAAGUUAAGCAUGAUAGAGUGUGGGUCUCAUAACCAGAAACUUUUCAUCAGGUUGAAGUUGACAUUAAUCUAUCAUCCAGUAACUGAUUACUUAAUUUUACUGUCUUUCCGACCCCGUUUUUUUUUUCAAAUUAUUCUAAUAGGCCUAAGAGAUGUCCGCUGCCUUGCUAAAAUCCUGGGAUGCUAUUUACACUGCAUUCUCUGAGCCAUAAUCCCAUCAAAACCAGAAACGAAAUUACUUUGGCAUGACUUGUUCCUAAUGAAGCAUGAAUCAUCUGCCACCUUCCUGUCUGGGUUCUAAGUGGGUGAUGGUUUGUUUGCCAAACCCAAAGAGAUCAAGUGUACGAUGCAGAUGGAAACACUAUUCAAAGACAUAGUCUUACUCACUAAGAGCAUCAACACUCUUGGAGAGUAAGUGGGAAGAUUUACAAGGGCCACAUGCACAUCUGGACUGAGUGUCAGGGAAGAUGUCGGGGGAAGUGCUGCGUUAUGUAUACAGUGUAAAAAUGAAAAGAAAACAAGAAGUCUCCACAAUUCUUGGGAAAAUAGCCAAAAAGUCUAGAUUUCAUUCAAAACCAGAAAUGGAAGUUGGAUAUUAUUAAAAAACAAAAACUUUGAGUCCCUGAGGUCUACAGUGCUACAAAUCUCUGUUAGAGACAAAGCAAGUUGAGUAGAAACACAGUAGGAGGCAACCCCAUCGGGGCAAGGCUGAGUUGAGGUGGGGUGGUUCCUUAGGAGAAGGAUACCUAAAGUGGUAACUCGACCAUGAUAUGGGCUUGUGAUUCCCACAGAAUGAAACACAUUAAACACACACAUCCCCCGCCCCCACAAAAAGAGCCGUCCUCACAAAGUUUCCCCAGUGUUACAACCAGGCACUAACGGCCCAUCCCCCUGCAUGCAGGGGGCUGAGUGCAGUUGACCAUCAACACCAAUCUCCCUUACCUUGUCUUUCCAUUGUCUUGUUUCCAUCUCUCUCAGACACCAGGUUUCUGAGGAAGGCCCCCAAGCCCUGCUGUAACAGGACUGGGCAUGUCAGCAUUGGCCCAGCAGCCCUCGACCCUGCAGCCCCUUCACUGUUUUCAUAGAGCUGUACUUUAGUUCAAGUCCCUUUUCUGCAUCAGAAAUGACUGAAUCCUGAAAAUGCUGUUGUGCAGUUAUUUUUGGCUCCCAUCCCUCCAGCCCUGGGGUCUUGCCUGCUCCUCGACAACCAUUAGCAGCUGUUAGAAGGGGCUUUCAAAUGCCUGCUUCUUGCUGAAGUGCUGUGACACUGGUUUUCUAAGAGCCCAACUGCACUGAAGAGGGGAGAGAAAAAUGGCAGAAGAGUUACAGAAACCCCCUGCAUUUGAGGAGUCAGGUUUUUCUCCCCUUUGUGCAAGAAAACAACCUCUGACAGCUGUAGAGGUGCUGCCCAGCUGAGUUCCUGUGGAGGCUAAUUCAAGUGAACUCAUGGGGCAGCCCCAGAGAUGGCCCUAUGUCAUCCUCAGAGACACCAUCAAGGGCGCAUCCUUGAUAUAAGAAAUUUAGCAUCCCACCUCCCUGAGCUGCUGCCACUUCACUGUACCUGACAUUCUGGGCCAGUGAGAGAGGAAAUGGCCUGUCACCACAGAGGCUAGAAGCUGCUGCCAGGGCCCCGGAAGCCCCCCAAAACCUGGACCCCAUUAGCUUCCUCAGGAACCCAUGCUGCCAAUGAGUCUCCCUGGUGGCCUCCUUCUCAGGUGUUAGAUCCCUACAAAGGACUGAGAACUGCCGUAGACAUUGGGGAAGUUCUGUGCUCCUUGUUAACAUUAAUCCAUUAAUUCUCACUAGCCCCAGUAAGAUAAUGACAUUAUUGCAGAUCAAUAAUUAAUGCAUCAAAAAAA